ACACGACUACAUUAGAUACCCGGGUAGUCCUAGCCGUAAACGAUACUCGCUAGGUGUCGGCCACGGUGCGACCGUUGUCGGUGCCGUAGGGAAGCCGUGAAGCGAGCCACCUGGGAAGUACGGCCGCAAGGCUGAAACUUAAAGGAAUUGGCGGGGGAGCACCACAACGGGUGGAGCUUGCGGUUUAAUUGGAUUCAACGCCGGAAAUCCUACCGGGACCGACAGCAACAUGAAGGCCAGGCUGAAGACUUUGCCGGAUUAGCUG
rnacentral:rRNA from 1 species